GAUGAACGCUGGCGGCGUGCUUAAUACAUGCAAGUCGAGCGAACAGACGCGGCGCUUGCUCCUCUGACGUUAGCGGCGGACGGGUGUGUCACACGUGGAUACUCUCCCUAUCAGUCUGAGAUAAUCUCGGGACACCGGCGCUUACCCCGGAUAAUAUAUUGCAGCGUAUGGUUCAAUAGUGAAAGACGGCUUUGCUGUAUCUUCUCGAUGGAUCUGCGCCGCAUUAGCUAGUUGUGAGGGUAACGGCUUACGACGGCAACGAUGCGUAGCCGACGUGAGAGGGUGGUCGCCCACACGGGAACGUAAACACGGACCAGAGGCCUGCGAGAGGCAGCAGAAGGGAAUCGGCCGCAAUAGGCGAAAGCCUGGCGGAACAGCGCCGCGUCAGUGAUGAAGGUCUUCGGAGCGGAAAACUCUGUUACUAGGUAAGAACAAAUGUGUAAGUAACUAAGCACGGCUUGACGGUAACUAAUCAGAAAGCCACGGCUAACUACGUG
rnacentral:rRNA from 1 species